CAGUCGCCGCGGGAAUACAGAGGGUGCGAGCGUUAAUCGGAUUUACUGGGCGUAAAGCGUGCGUAGGCGGCUUCUUAAGUCGGAUGUGAAAUCCCUGAGCUUAACUUAGGAAUUGCAUUCGAUACUGGGAAGCUAGAGUGUGGGAGAGGAUGGUAGAAUUCCAGGUGUAGCGGUGAAAUGCGUAGAGAUCUGGAGGAAUACCGAUGGCGAAGGCAGCCAUCUGGCCUAACACUGACGCUGAGGUACGAAAGCAUGGGGAGCAAACAGGAUUAGAUACCCCUGUAGUCCCUGUCUCUUAUAC
rnacentral:rRNA from 1 species